CUUGUGGUUAUGGUAAACACCCACCAUUCUAUUAGGAUUAACAUGCCAUAUAUUUGGUAACAAUACAACUUUCUAAGCUGUAAUUACAGCAUCAUCAAACCUCCAGGGAGAUGAUCCAGCAUGAUCCAGGAUCAUUUUACAGAUAAGAUACCAGGCAUUCGUUGUCAACUCUCUAUGAGGCAGGACUAAUUUACCCAAAGUCAAC